AACGAACGCUGGCGUCAUGCCUAACACAUGCAAGUCGAACGAGAUCUUCGGGUCUAGUGGCGCACGGGUGCGUAACGCGUGGGAAUCUGCCCUUUGGUUCGGAAUAACAGUUGGGAACGACUGCUAAUACCGGAUGAUGACGAAAGUCCAAAGAUUUAUCGCCAGAGGAUGAGCCCGCGUAGGAUUAGCUAGUUGGUGUGGUAAAGGCGCACCAAGGCGACGAUCCUUAGCUGGUCUGAGAGGAUGAUCAGCCACACUGGGACUGAGACACGGCCCAGACUCCUACGGGAGGCUGCAGUGGGGAAUAUUGGACAAUGGGCGAAAGCCUGAUCCAGCAAUGCCGCGUGAGUGAUGAAGGCCUUAGGGUUGUAAAGCUCUUUUACCCGGGAUGAUAAUGACAGUACCGGGAGAAUAAGCUCCGGCUAACUCCGUGCCAGCCGCCGCAGUAA
rnacentral:rRNA from 1 species